GUCCGGGUGGCGGAAUUGGCAGACGCGCUAGCUUGAGGUGCUAGUGCCCGCAAGGGCUUCGGGGUUCAAGUCCCCGUUCGGACACAA
rnacentral:tRNA from 1 species